rnacentral:rRNA from 1 species
CAGUAGCCGCGGGAAUACAGAGGGUGCGAGCGUUAAUCGGAUUUACUGGGCGUAAAGCGUGCGUAGGCGGCUUUUUAAGUCGGAUGUGAAAUCCCUGAGCUUAACUUAGGAAUUGCAUUCGAUACUGGGAAGCUAGAGUAUGGGAGAGGAUGGUAGAAUUCCAGGUGUAGCGGUGAAAUGCGUAGAGAUCUGGAGGAAUACCGAUGGCGAAGGCAGCCAUCUGGCCUAAUACUGACGCUGAGGUACGAAAGCAUGGGGAGCAAACAGGAUUAGAUACCCGUAGUCCCUGUCUCUUAUACAC